rnacentral:lncRNA from 1 species
UCAGCGUCCACAGGAUGUGGAAGGCGGCCGCCUGCGAGGAUCACAUCCUGCUGCCAAAGAUCAUUCCUCAGUACUUCGCUGGCGCAGAGCUCGUCGGCGAUGGCGAAGCUGGCAGCACAAAGACCUUCCACUUCACUCCAGGUUUAGAUUUUGAUGCUGCUUUCCGACAUUCGUGUGCGUGCGAGAAGAGAUCGCAAAACAAGGAUAAAAAAUAAUCUCACAUCGAUAAAAAGAAUCGGAUGAUACAUAUCGAAACCUUUUUGGUUGAAUUGAUGUAUGAUCUGUUAAUUGGAACUAAUUUGGCUAUUGUUGCGAUCCAUCGAACUGCAGCCGCAGAGCCACUGACCUUCGUGAAGGACCAUGUUGAGGUGUUGGACCACGGAAGCCACACGAUGAGGUACAAGGCGAUCGAAGGAGGUCACCUCGGCCGCACGCUCAAGUCGCACGCGUUCGAGGUCAAGUUCGAAGCGGCGGGCGCCGACAGCUGUGUCGUGAAGACCAAGACAGAAUACGAUACGAUCGACGACGCGCCGCUGCCGGAGGACGAGGUGCAGAAGAUGACGGACGUGCCAGUACGGAUGAUGAAGUCGGUGGAAGCCUAUCUGAUAGCCAACCCCGGUGUUUGUGCCUGAGCCCCUGAGCCUCUGAGCCGGUGGGCUUUCGUGUACCGACGUUGGUGCUUCCAGUGUCGUAGUGCUUGUCAUUGGGCGUGGAUCAAUCAAUAAUGAGGUGAUGCAGCAGUGCUGGAAUCAUCACCUUUAGAGUGAGAGAGUGAGAGAGUGAGAGAGAGAUAGGACAUGACAUGUUGAUGCCAU